rnacentral:lncRNA from 1 species
GAAAAAGUUAGAUGGAGACAUCAUUUGUGACAGGAUGCAAUGUAAGAGGUGUACAAACAGAUAUCAAAGGACAGAACUGUCAGUGGGGGGCAUGGAAGGGAGAAGAGAAGUUUUCACUCUGCGAAGAGCAUGUUGAAGGGUUUUAAGAGAUUCAGAAGAUUUCAAUGAACAGCGAUGGAACAGAAGGCAGAAGCUAAGGUUUUCUGUUGCUUAGGUUGGCUCAAGUCUGUGGAUUGGGGUCUCGUCUGCUUCACCAGUACCAGUGGCUGUCUGGGGCAUGCUAUUCUCAUUGGAGACCACAGAAAUGUAAGUCAGCAGGCCAAACCACACAGACUUAUUUAAAACUUCUGCUUGCAUCACAUUUGCUCACAUUCUGUUGUCCUAUACAAAUCACUUGGCCAAGCCCAACUGUAGUGGGCUGGGAUACAUACUCUGCCUACAGUGGGAGGCAGUGAAAAGUCACAUGGCAAAGAGUGAGGAUGUGCAACUUUAUUAGGAAGUGAGUGAAGAAUUGAG